rnacentral:lncRNA from 10 species
CUGAUCUUCAGUGGACUAAAACUUCUGCUCAGGACACAGGCCUAAGCUGUUCCUAGAAGUCCUCCUUCCUAUUCUUUCUCAAGCCAACUCGGCUCACCUGUCCCAUCUCAGCAGAAGGCCGGUCCUGGAGCAGCCGCUCUUGGUCUCCCACUUCCUGGGGUAGUGCAGCUUCUGGGCCAGAGCCGGGCCACACCACGGCUCCACUCUCCUAGUCGUGGAUCUUGAACAAGACUUUCCACCUAUUGAGACUCAGUUUUCUUACCUGGAAAAUGGCGAGAGCAGCAGCACCCACCCUGCAGGAACAUGGUGAGGAUCCAGUUAUCAAAUAUCGAGUGUUUCGGAUGCUGCAGCCUCACAGUAAGCCCUGGCCUUUAGGAAGAGUCAGCUCUCAUUAUCCACUCUUGUAACAUCUCAUUCUUUUCCUUCCACUCACUUGCUAAAUUUUGUAAUUUUGGUCAGGCAUGGUGGCUCAUGCCUGGAAUCCCAACACUUUGGGAAGCUGAGGUGGGAGGACUGCUUGAGGCCAGGAGUUCAAGACCAGCCAGGGCAACAUAGUGAGACCCCUGUCUCUACAAAAAUAAAAAUAAAAAACUUAGCUAGGUGUGGUGGUGCAUGCAUGACUGUAGUCCUCCUAGCUACCUGGGAGGCUGCCCAAGUAGGAGCCUCCCAAGUUGGGCCGGAGAAUUGCUUGAGCCCAGGAUUUCAAGGUUAUAGUGAGCUAUGAUCGCACCACUGCAUUCCAGCCUGGAAGACAG